AAUGAACGUUGGCGGCGUGGAUUAGGCAUGCAAGUCGAGCGAGAACCGGUUUCGGCCGGGGACAGCGGCGAACGGCGUAGUAAUGCAUCGGAACGUACCCUCUGGUCGGGGAUAGCUACGGGAAAAUGUAGGUAAUACCCGAUGAUCUCUGCGGAGCAAAGGUGAGAUUCCGCCGGAGGAGCGGCUGAUGUGAUAUUAGCUAGUUGGUGGGGUAACGGCCUACCAAGGCGAUGAUGUCUAGGGGGUGUGAGAGCAUGGCCCCCACGACCGGAACUGAGAUACUGUCCGGACACCUACGGGUGGCUGCAGUCGAGAAUCUUCCGCAAUGGACGAAAGUCUGACGGAGCGACGCCGCGUGCGGGAUGAAGGCCCUUGGGUUGUAAACCGCUGUCAGAGGGGAUGAAAUCUUCGGAGGUACUCCUCCGAAGUUGACAGAGCCUCAAAGGAAGCACGGGCUAAGUACGUGCCAGCAGCCGCAGUAACAC
rnacentral:rRNA from 1 species